rnacentral:snRNA from 1 species
GUAAGUGGCAGAGUGGCC